rnacentral:misc_RNA from 1 species
AGGAUCAAUGGAUCUCUGGCACGUCGGGCCAUCAAGGAUUUGAUGGCAAGAGGAGCUAUCAGGAUGAUUUCUGCUCAUGCUAGCCAGCAGAUUUACACAAGAGCCACCAACACCUAGGAGAAAAUGAAUUAGUCUGCAUUUUGCUUUUAACUCAUAGGAUGUUUCUCAUUUUCCGAGAUGCCAACUUUAUCUUUGCCUUUUCAUUUU